rnacentral:rRNA from 1 species
CCUACGGGCGGCAGCAGUGGGGAAUAUUGCACAAUGGGGGAAACCCUGAUGCAGCGACGCCGCGUGAGUGAAGAAGUAUUUCGGUACGUAAAGCUCUAUCAGCAGGGAAGAAAAUGACGGUACCUGACUAAGAAGCCCCGGCUAACUACGUGCCAGCAGCCGCGGUAAUACGUAGGGGGCACGCGUUAUCCGGAUUUACUGGGUGUAAAGGGAGCGUAGACGGCAGCGCAAGUCUGGAGUGAAAUCCCAUGGCUUAACCAUGGAACUGCUUUGGAAACUGUGCAGCUAGAGUGCAGGAGAGGUAAGCGGAAUUCCUAGUGUAGCGGUGAAAUGCGUAGAUAUUAGGAGGAACACCAGUGGCGAAGGCGGCUUACUGGACUGUAACUGACGUUGAGGCUCGAAAGCGUGGGGAGCAAACAGGAUUAGAUACCCCUGUAGUC